rnacentral:rRNA from 1 species
UACGUAGGGUGCAAGCGUUAAUCGGAAUUACUGGGCGUAAAGGGCGCGUAGGCGGUUCGUUAAGUCCUGUGUGAAAUCCCCCGGCUCAACUGGGGAACUGCACAGGAAACUAGCGGGCUUGAGUUCGGGAGAGGGAAGCGGAAUUCCUGGUGUAGCGGUGGAAUGCGCAGAUAUCAGGAGGAACACCGGUGGCGAAGGCGGGUCUCUGGGCAGUGAACUGACGCUGGAGGAGCGAAAGCGUGGGGAGCGAGCAGG